UAACAGUGUUGCGCAAAUGAACUGAAGAC
rnacentral:piRNA from 1 species